rnacentral:rRNA from 1 species
UGGGGGAUAUUGGACAAUGGGGGGAACCCUGAUCCAGCGACGCCGCGUGAGUGAAGAAGUAUUUCGGUAUGUAAAGCUCUAUCAGCAGGGAAGAAGAUGACGGUACCUGACUAAGAAGCCCCGGCUAACUACGUGCCAGCAGCCGCGGUAAUACGUAGGGGGCAAGCGUUAUCCGGAUUUACUGGGUGUAAAGGGAGCGUAGACGGCAGGGCAAGUCUGGAGUGAAAGCCCGGGGCCCAACCCCGGGACUGCUUUGGAAACUGCCAUGCUGGAGUGCUGGAGAGGUAAGCGGAAUUCCUAGUGUAGCGGUGAAAUGCGUAGAUAUUAGGAGGAACACCAGUGGCGAAGGCGGCUUACUGGACAGUAACUGACGUUGAGGCUCGAAAGCGUGGGGAGCAAACAGG